AACGAACGCUGGCGGCAGGCUUAACACAUGCAAGUCGAGCGCCCCGCAAGGGGAGCGGCAGACGGGUGAGUAACGCGUGGGAAUCUACCCAUCUCUACGGAAUAACGCAUGGAAACGUGUGCUAAUACCGUAAACGUCCUUCGGGCGAAAGAUUUAUCGGAGAUGGAUGAGCCCGCGUUGGAUUAGCUAGUUGGUGGGGUAAAGGCCUACCAAGGCGACGAUCCGUAGCUGGUCUGAGAGGAUGAUCAGCCACACUGGGACUGAGACACGGCCCAGACUCCUACGGGAGGCAGCAGUGGGGAAUAUUGGACAAUGGGCGCAAGCCUGAUCCAGCCAUGCCGCGUGAGUGAUGAAGGCCCUAGGGUUGUAAAGCUCUUUCACCGGUGAAGAUAAUGACGGUAACCGGAGAAGAAGCCCCGGCUAACUUCGUGCCAGCCGCCGCAGUAACAC
rnacentral:rRNA from 1 species